GAUCUGGCUCAGGAUGAACGCUGGCGGCGUGCCUAACACAUGCAAGUCGAGCGAAGCACUUUGCUUAGAUUCUUCGGAUGAAGAGGAUUGUGACUGAGCGGGCGGACGGGUGAGUAACGUGUGGGUAACCUGCCUCAUACAGGGGGAUAACAGUUAGAAAUGACUGCUAAUACCGCAUAAGACCACAGCACCGCAUGGUGCGGGGGUAAAAACUCCGGUGGUAUGAGAUGGACCCGCG
rnacentral:rRNA from 1 species